rnacentral:rRNA from 1 species
CUCGGUCAGUGCAUUAGCACAUGCAAGUCGAACGGUGAACACGGAGCUUGCUCUGUGGGAUCAGUGCCGAACGGGUGAGUAACACUUGAGCAACCUGCCCCUGACUCUGGGAUAAGCGCUGGAAACGGCGUCUAAUACUGGAUACCGAGUAGCGGCCGCAUGGUCAGUUACUGGAAAGAUUUUUUGGUUGGGGAUGGGCUCGCGGCCUAUCAGCUUGUUGGUGAGGUAAUGGCUCACCAAGGCGUCGACGGGUAGCCGGCCUGAGAGGGUGACCGGCCACACUGGGACUGAGACACGGCCCAGACUCCUACGGGAGGCAGCAGUGGGGAAUAUUGCACAAUGGGCGGAAGCCUGAUGCAGCACCGCCGCGUGAGGGAUGACGGCCUUCGGGUUGUAAACCUCUUUUAGCAGGGAAGAAGCGAAAGUGACGGUACCUGCAGAAAAAGCGCCGGCUAACUACGUGCCAGCAGCCGCGGUAAUACGUAGGGCGCAAGCGUUAUCCGGAAUUAUUGGGCGUAAAGAGCUCGUAGGCGGUUUGUCGCGUCUGCUGUGAAAUCCCGAGGCUCAACCUCGGGCCUGCAUCUGGGUACGGGCAGACUAGAUGUGCGCUAUGGGGAGAUUGGAAUUCCUGGUGUAGCGGUGGAAUGCGCAGAUCUCAGGAGGAACACCGAUGGCGAAGGCAGCUCUCUGGGCCGUAACUGACGCUGAUGAUCCAAAGGCUG